AUUGAACGCUGGCGGCAAGCCUAACACAUGCAAGUCGAACGAGUGGCGGACGGGUGAGUAAUGUCUGGGAAACUGCCUGAUGGAGGGGGAUAACUACUGGAAACGGUAGCUAAUACCGCCUACCAUCGGAUGUGCCCAGAUGGGAUUAGCUAGUAGGUGGGGUAAAGGCUCACCUAGGCGACGAUCCCUAGCUGGUCUGAGAGGAUGACCAGCCAAACUGGAACUGAGACACGGUCCAGACUCCUACGUGAGGCAGCAGUGGGGAAUAUUGCACAAUGGGCGCAAGCCUGACGCAGCCAUGCCGCGUGUAUGAAGAAGGCUUUCGGGUUGUAAAGUACUUUCGGCGGGGAGGCGUUACCUGCAGAGAAAGCACCGGCUAACUCCGUGCCAGCAGCCGCGGUAAUUC
rnacentral:rRNA from 1 species